UAGCGUAGGGGGCGAGCGUUGUCCGGAUUUAUUGGGCGUAAAGAGCUCGUAGGCGGCCCUCUUAGUCGGACGUGAAAUCCCCAGGCUUAACUUGGGAACUGCGUCCGAUACUGGAGGGCUUGAGUGCGGGAGAGGGAUGUGGAAUUCCAGGUGUAGCGGUGAAAUGCGUAGAGAUCGUGAGGAAGACCAGUGGCGAAGGCGGGUCUCUGGACAGUUCCUGACACUGAGGCACGAAGGCCAGGGGAGCAAACGGG
rnacentral:rRNA from 1 species